GAUGAAGAACGUAGCGAAAUGCGAUAAGUAAUGUGAAUUGCAGAAUUCAGUGAAUCAUCGAAUCUUUGAACGCACAUUGCGCCCUCUGGUAUUCCGGGGGGCAUGCCUGUUCGAGCGUCAUUAUAACCACUCAAGCUCUCGCUUGGUAUUGGAGUUCGCGAUCUCGCGGCUCCUAAAAUCAGUGGCGGUGCCUGUCGGCUCUACGCGUAGUAAUACUCCUCGCGAUUGAGUCCGGUAGGUUUACUUGCCAGCAACCCCCAAUUUUUACAGGUUGACCUCGGAUCAGGUAGGGAUACCCGCUGAACUUAAGCAUAUCAUAAGCGAGGA
rnacentral:misc_RNA from 1 species